rnacentral:snoRNA from 14 species
UGGAUAUGACCAUAAAGAAAAAUUUCCAUUAGAUUUUCUUUAUGCUAUUUGACUAGCACUUAACCAGUUGGGAACAUCU